rnacentral:rRNA from 1 species
GCUCGCCGCGGUAAUACGGAGGGUGCAAGCGUUACUCGGAAUCACUGGGCGUAAAGGGCGCGUAGGCGGAUUAUCAAGUCUCUUGUGAAAUCUAAUGGCUUAACCAUUAAACUGCUUGGGAAACUGAUAGUCUAGAGUGAGGGAGAGGCAGAUGGAAUUGGUGGUGUAGGGGUAAAAUCCGUAGAUAUCACCAAGAAUACCCAUUGCGAAGGCGAUCUGCUGGAACUUAACUGACGCUAAG